rnacentral:tRNA from 1 species
GGGGAAGUGACGGAAUUGGCAGACGUGCAUGACUUAGGAUCAUGUGGGGCAACCCGUGCGGGUUCGAGUCCCGCCUUCCCCA